GCCUUCAACCUCUGGCCAUGUCGAAGGGUCAGCUCUGUCACCCCUUCCUUGAUAUGCAGACUUGUCAUAUCGUGGCAGCUUCAUUUUCAUACCUUCCUUUGUCAACUUCUUCAAAUCCGUGAGUGUAUCGACUGAGAGUGAAAGAUCAUGGCUUCCCGCAUUUCCACGCAACUCUAAGAGCGCAUUCCCAGGGUGUUGACUCCUUAAUUUACCCUGCUCCUCCGCUGUCAAGU
rnacentral:misc_RNA from 1 species